GACCUGAUAGCACAACGGUUAGUGCUGUUGCCACGCAUACAUGACUUUGUGGGUACUUUCCGCAGAUGAUCCCGUUCAACUCGGGGUCAGGUCA